rnacentral:snRNA from 1 species
AUACUUACCUGGCAAUAGAGAUACCAUGAUCAAAAAAGUCUUUUUCUCAGGAUGAGGCUUAUCCAUUGCACUCUGGAUGUGCUGACCCCUGUGAUUUCCCCAAAUGUGGGAAACUCAACUGCACAAUUUGUAGUAGUGCAGGACUGUGUUCACGCUCUCUCCUGAG